AAGGCCCUGCUUGCAGGGUACUCGAGUGGCGAACGGGUGAGUAACACGUGGGUGAUCUGCCCUGCACUUCGGGAUAAGCUUGGGAAACUGGGUCUAAUACCGGAUAGGAACCAUCUUUAGUGUGGUGGUUGGAAAGUUUUUUCGGUGUAGGAUGAGCUCGCGGCCUAUCAGCUUGUUGGUGGGGUAAUGGCCUACCAAGGCGGCGACGGGUAGCCGGCCUGAGAGGGUGUACGGCCACAUUGGGACUGAGAUACGGCCCAGACUCCUACGGGAGGCAGCAGUGGGGAAUAUUGCACAAUGGGCGCAAGCCUGAUGCAGCGACGCCGCGUGGGGGAUGAAGGCCUUCGGGUUGUAAACUCCUUUCGCUAGGGACGAAGCUUUUUGUGACGGUACCUAGAUAAGAAGCACCGGCUAACUACGUGCCAGCAGCCGCGGUAAUACGUAGGGUGCGAGCGUUGUCCGGAAUUACUGGGCGUAAAGGGCUCGUAGGUGGUUUGUCGCGUCGUCUGUGAAAUUCUGGGGCUUAACUCCGGGCGUGCAGGCGAUACGGGCAUAACUUGAGUGCUGUAGGGGUAACUGGAAUUCCUGGUGUAGCGGUGAAAUGCGCAGAUAUCAGGAGGACACCGAUGGCGAAGGCAGGUUACUGGGCAGU
rnacentral:rRNA from 1 species